rnacentral:rRNA from 1 species
UAGGGAAUCUUCGGCAAUGGACGAAAGCCUGACCGAGCAACGCCGCGUGAGUGAAGAAGGUUUUCGGAUCGUAAAACUCUGUUGUUAGAGAAGAACAAGGACGUUAGUAACUGAACGUCCCCUGACGGUAUCUAACCAGAAAGCCACGGCUAACUACGUGCCAGCAGCCGCGGUAAUACGUAGGUGGCAAGCGUUGUCCGGAUUUAUUGGGCGUAAAGCGAGCGCAGGCGGUUUCUUAAGUCUGAUGUGAAAGCCCCCGGCUCAACCGGGGAGGGUCAUUGGAAACUGAGAGACUUGAGUGCAGAAGAGGAGAGUGGAAUUCCAUGUGUAGCGGUGAAAUGCGUAGAUAUAUGGCGGAACACAAGUGGCGAAGGCGGCUCUCUGGUCUGUAACUGACGCUGAGGCUCGAAAGCGUGGGGAGCAAACAGG